rnacentral:rRNA from 1 species
CCUACGUGGAGCAGCAGUGAGGAAUAUUGGUCCAUGGGCGCGAGCCUGAACAAGCCCAGUAGCGUGAAGGAUGACUGCCCUACGGGUUGUAGACUUCUUUUAUAAAGGAAUAAAGUGAGGCACGUGUGCCUUUUUGUAUGUACUUUAUGAAUAAGGAUCGGCUAACUCCGUGCCAGCAGCCGCGGUAAUACGGAGGAUCCGAGCGUUAUCCGGAUUUUUUGUGUUUAAAGGGAGCGUAGAUGGGUUGUUAAGUCAGUUGUGAAAGUUUGCGGCUCAACCGUAAAAUUGCAAUUGAUACUGGCAGCCUUGAGUACAGUUGAGGUAGGCGGACUUCGUGGUGUAGCGGUGAAAUGCUUAGAUAUCACGAAGAACUCCGAUUGCGAAGGCAGCCUACUAAACUGCCACUGACAUUGAUGCUCGAAAGUGUGGGUAUCAAACAGGAUUAGAUACCCCUGUAGUC